GAGGGAAAGUUGAAAAGCACUUUGAAGAGAGAGUUGGACAGUACGUGAAACCGUUUACAGGUAAACGGAUGGGACCGCAAUGUCGACGGCGGGGAUUCAGGUUUGCUUGGCUCCACUCGAUUGGUUGUCGCUGACCUCCUUUGGGGGGCUUCUGGCGCCUUUCGGAUGANGGGCUAGGUGGCUGCACUUUCUCGUCGUUGAGCGCCACGACCGCUUGCUAGGCAGCGAGAAGCGCCCGUUCAAGGUAUCUCUUGACGCACUCUGUGUGUCGGGAGCGCUUAUAGGUUCGGGAGAUUGGCUGGCCUGCUUGGUGAGCGAGGAACUCGGGCCGUGCGUUCCGACUCGAUUUCGCUGGCUUGGUGUUCGACUAGCGAGGACUGCUUGCAGUGCUUGCUGACCGCACUGGCUAGGUCAGGAGUUGAUGUCGGUUGUGCACCGAAGGGUCAGUGGUGAAUGGUCGGCACCCCAUCCGACCCGUCUUGAAACACGGACCAAGGAGUCUAACAUGUGCGCAAGUCAAAGGGUCUUGCUAAACCCCAGGGCGAAAUGAAAGUGAAAGGAGCGGGGCAACUCGUCUCCAAAAGGUGUGAUCUUGGCUUGUAUGUUGGGCCAAGCGCAGCACCGGCCCGUCUCGUACCCAUUGCUGUUGUGGUUGAGGCGGAGCUCGAGCGUACACGUUGGGACCCCA
rnacentral:rRNA from 1 species